rnacentral:rRNA from 1 species
GACGAACGCUGGCGGCGUGCCUAACACAUGCAAGUCGAACGGAAAGGCCCUGCUUUCUUGGGGUGCUCGAGUGGCGAACGGGUGAGUAACACGUGUGUAACCUGCUCUUGUCUUUGGGAUAACUUCAGGAAACGGGGGCUACUACCGUAUAGCAUCCGCUCCUCGAUGGUGGGGGUUGGAACGUUGCGGCGUGUGCGGUUGGACUCGCGGCUGUACAGCUUGUUGGUGGGGGAGUGGCUUACCCAGGGUUUGGCGGGUAGCCGGCCUGAGAGGGUGAACGGCCACAUUGGGACUGAGAGAGGGCGCAGUGUGCAACGGGAGACAGCAGUGGCGAAUAUUGUACAAUGGGCCGAAGCCUGUGGCAGCGACGCUGCGGGUGUGAAGACGGCCUUCUGGUUGUAAACAGCUGUAGCCUGUGACGAAGCGGGUGUGACGGUAAUGGGUAAAGAAGCACCGGCUAACUACGUG